rnacentral:rRNA from 1 species
UACGUAGGGAGCAAGCGUUGUCCGGAAUCAUUGGGCGUAAAGCGCGCGUAGGCGGCCCUGUAAGUCCGCUGUGAAAGUCAAAGGCUCAACCUUUGAAAGCCGGUGGAUACUGCAGGGCUAGAGUCCGGAAGAGGCGAGUGGAAUUCCUGGUGUAGCGGUGAAAUGCGCAGAUAUCAGGAGGAACACCUAUUGCGAAGGCAGCUCGCUGGGACGUAACUGACGCUGAGACGCGAAAGCGUGGGGAGCAAACAGG